rnacentral:rRNA from 1 species
GAUGAACGCUGGCGGCGUGCUUAACACAUGCAAGUCGAACGAGAAAUGUAGACGGAAACCUUCGGGCGGAAGCCUUCAUUUCGAGUGGCGGACGGGUGAGUAACGCGCGGGUAACCUGCCUCAUACAGGGGGAUAACAGUUGGAAACGACUGUUAAUACCGCAUAAGACCACAGCAACGCAUGAUGGGGGGGGAAAAGCUCCGGUGGUAUGAGAUGGACCCGCGUGGGAUUAGCCAGUUGGCGGGGUAACGGGCGACCAAAGCGACGAUCGAAAGCGGAACUGAGAGGGGGACCAGUCGGAUUGGGACUGAGACCCGACCCCAACUCCUACGGGAGGCAGCGGUUGGGGAUCUUGCGCAGUGAGGGAGACCCAGAUGCGGCGAGGGCGCGUGGGUGGAGAAGUGCUUGUGUAUGUAUAUCUCCAUCGGCGGAGAUGAUAAUGACGGUACCUGCGUAAGAAGCACCGGCUAACUACGUG